rnacentral:rRNA from 1 species
GGGUUGUGAGGUUAAGCGACUAAGCGUACACGGUGGAUGCCCUGGCAGUCAGAGGCGAUGAAGGACGUGCUAAUCUGCGAAAAGCGUCGGUAAGGUGAUAUGAACCGUUAUAACCGGCGAUGUCCGAAUGGGGAAACCCAGUGUGAUUCGUCACACUAUCGUUAACUGAAUACAUAGGUUAACGAGGCGAACCGGGGGAACUGAAACAUCUAAGUACCCCGAGGAAAAGAAAUCAACCGAGAUUCCCCCAGUAGCGGCGAGCGAACGGGGAGCAGCCCAGAGUCUGAAUCAGCUUGUGUGUUAGUGGAACGGUCUGGAAAGUCCGACGGUACAGGGUGAUAGUCCCGUACACCAAAAUGCACAGGUUGUGAACUCGAAGAGUAGGGCGGGACACGUGGUAUCCUGUCUGAAUAUGGGGGGACCAUCCUCCAAGGCUAAAUACUCCUGACUGACCGAUAGUGAACCAGUACCGUGAGGGAAAGGCGAAAAGAACCCCGGCGAGGGGAGUGAAAAAGAACCUGAAACCGUGUACGUACAAGCAGUGGGAGCACCUUCGGGUGUGACUGCGUACCUUUUGUAUAAUGGGUCAGCGACUUAUAUUCUGUAGCAAGGUUAACCGUAUAGGGGAGCCGCAGGGAAACCGAGUCUUAACUGGGCGUUAAGUUGCAGGGUAUAGACCCGAAACCCGGUGAUCUAGCCAUGGGCAGGUUGAAGGUUGGGUAACACUAACUGGAGGACCGAACCGACUAAUGUUGAAAAAUUAGCGGAUGACUUGUGGCUGGGGGUGAAAGGCCAAUCAAACCGGGAGAUAGCUGGUUCUCCCCGAAAGCUAUUUAGGUAGCGCCUCGUGAAUUCAUCUUCGGGGGUAGAGCACUGUUUCGGCUAGGGGGUCAUCCCGACUUACCAACCCGAUGCAAACUACGAAUACCGAAGAAUGUUAUCACGGGAGACACACGGCGGGUGCUAACGUCCGUCGUGAAGAGGGAAACAACCCAGACCGCCAGCUAAGGUCCCAAAGUCAUGGUUAAGUGGGAAACGAUGUGGGAAGGCACAGACAGCCAGGAUGUUGGCUUAGAAGCAGCCAUCAUUUAAAGAAAGCGUAAUAGCUCACUGGUCGAGUCGGCCUGCGCGGAAGAUGUAACGGGGCUAAACCAUGCACCGAAGCUGCGGCAGCGACACUAUGUGUUGUUGGGUAGGGGAGCGUUCUGUAAGCCUGCGAAGGUGUGCUGUGAGGCAUGCUGGAGGUAUCAGAAGUGCGAAUGCUGACAUAAGUAACGAUAAAGCGGGUGAAAAGCCCGCUCGCCGGAAGACCAAGGGUUCCUGUCCAACGUUAAUCGGGGCAGGGUGAGUCGACCCCUAAGGCGAGGCCGAAAGGCGUAGUCGAUGGGAAACAGGUUAAUAUUCCUGUACUUGGUGUUACUGCGAAGGGGGGACGGAGAAGGCUAUGUUAGCCGGGCGACGGUUGUCCCGGUUUAAGCAUGUAGGCUGAUUAUCCAGGCAAAUCCGGAUAAUCAAGGCUGAGGUGUGAUGACGAGGCACUACGGUGCUGAAGUAACAAAUGCCCUGCUUCCAGGAAAAGCCUCUAAGCAUCAGGUAACAUCAAAUCGUACCCCAAACCGACACAGGUGGUCAGGUAGAGAAUACCAAGGCGCUUGAGAGAACUCGGGUGAAGGAACUAGGCAAAAUGGUGCCGUAACUUCGGGAGAAGGCACGCUGGUGUGUAGGUGAAGCCCCUGCGGGUGGAGCUGAGACCAGUCGAAGAUACCAGCUGGCUGCAACUGUUUAUUAAAAACACAGCACUGUGCAAACACGAAAGUGGACGUAUACGGUGUGACGCCUGCCCGGUGCCGGAAGGUUAAUUGAUGGGGUUAUCCGUAAGGAGAAGCUCUUGAUCGAAGCCCCGGUAAACGGCGGCCGUAACUAUAACGGUCCUAAGGUAGCGAAAUUCCUUGUCGGGUAAGUUCCGACCUGCACGAAUGGCGUAAUGAUGGCCAGGCUGUCUCCACCCGAGACUCAGUGAAAUUGAACUCGCUGUGAAGAUGCAGUGUACCCGCGGCAAGACGGAAAGACCCCGUGAACCUUUACUAUAGCUUGACACUGAACAUUGAGCCUUGAUGUGUAGGAUAGGUGGGAGGCUUUGAAGCGUGGACGCCAGUCUGCGUGGAGCCAACCUUGAAAUACCACCCUUUAAUGUUUGAUGUUCUAACGUUGGCCCCUGACCGGGGUUGCGGACAGUGUCUGGUGGGUAGUUUGACUGGGGCGGUCUCCUCCCAAAGCGUAACGGAGGAGCACGAAGGUUAGCUAAUCCUGGUCGGACAUCAGGAGGUUAGUGCAAUGGCAUAAGCUAGCUUGACUGCGAGCGUGACGGCGCGAGCAGGUGCGAAAGCAGGUCAUAGUGAUCCGGUGGUUCUGAAUGGAAGGGCCAUCGCUCAACGGAUAAAAGGUACUCCGGGGAUAACAGGCUGAUACCGCCCAAGAGUUCAUAUCGACGGCGGUGUUUGGCACCUCGAUGUCGGCUCAUCACAUCCUGGGGCUGAAGUAGGUCCCAAGGGUAUGGCUGUUCGCCAUUUAAAGUGGUACGCGAGCUGGGUUUAGAACGUCGUGAGACAGUUCGGUCCCUAUCUGCCGUGGGCGCUGGAGAAUUGAGGGGGGCUGCUCCUAGUACGAGAGGACCGGAGUGGACGCAUCACUGGUGUUCGGGUUGUCAUGCCAAUGGCACUGCCCGGUAGCUAAAUGCGGAAGAGAUAAGUGCUGAAAGCAUCUAAGCACGAAACUUGCCCCGAGAUGAGUUCUCCCUGAGACUUUAAGUCUCCUGAAGGAACGUUGAAGACGACGACGUUGAUAGGCCGGGUGUGUAAGCGCAGCGAUGCGUUGAGCUAACCGGUACUAAUGAACCGUGAGGCUUAACCUUACAACGCCGAAG